rnacentral:rRNA from 1 species
UACGUAGGUGGCAAGCGUUAUCCGGAAUUAUUGGGCGUAAAGCGCGCGCAGGCGGUUUCUUAAGUCUGAUGUGAAAGCCCACGGCUCAACCGUGGAGGGUCAUUGGAAACUGGGGAACUUGAGUGCAGAAGAGAAAAGCGGAAUUCCACGUGUAGCGGUGAAAUGCGUAGAUAUCGGGAGGAACACCAGUGGCGAAGGCGACUACCUGGCCUGUUCUUGACGCUGAGGCGCGAAAGCUAGGGGAGCAAACGGG